rnacentral:rRNA from 1 species
AUAACGCUCGGAAACAGACGCUAAUACCGCAUACGUCCUACGGGAGAAAGCAGGGGACCUUCGGGCCUUGCGCUAUCAGAUGAGCCUAGGUCGGAUUAGCUAGUUGGUGGGGUAAUGGCUCACCAAGGCGACGAUCCGUAACUGGUCUGAGAGGAUGAUCAGUCACACUGAAACUGAAACACGGUCCAGACUCCUACGGGAGGCAGAAGUGGGGAAUAUUGGACAAUGGGCGAAAGCCUGAUCCAGCCAUGCAGCGUGUGUGAAGAAGGUCUUCGGAUUGUAAAGCACUUUA